rnacentral:rRNA from 1 species
AUUGAACGCUGGCGGCAGGCCUAACACAUGCAAGUCGAGCGGAUGAAGGGAGCUUGCUCCUGGAUUCAGCGGCGGACGGGUGAGUAAUGCCUAGGAAUCUGCCUGGUAGUGGGGGAUAACGUCCGGAAACGGGCGCUAAUACCGCAUACGUCCUGAGGGAGAAAGUGGGGGAUCUUCGGACCUCACGCUAUCAGAUGAGCCUAGGUCGGAUUAGCUAGUUGGUGGGGUAAAGGCCUACCAAGGCGACGAUCCGUAACUGGUCUGAGAGGAUGAUCAGUCACACUGGAACUGAGAAACGGUCCAGACUCCUGCGGGAGGCAGCAGUGGGGAAUAUUGGACAAUGGGCGAAAGCCUGAUCCAGCCAUGCCGCGUGUGUGAAGAAGGUCUUCGGAUUGUAAAGCACUUUAAGUUGGGAGGAAGGGAAGUAAGUUAAUACCUUGCUGUUUUGACGUUACCAACAGAAUAAGCACCGGCUAACUUCGUG